GACAGAGGAGCCAAGCGUUGUCCGGACUGACUGGGGCGUAAAAGCGCCCCGCAGGCGGCCGUGCACGUGGGGGUGUGAAAGCUCGCGGCUUUAACUGCGAGAGGCCAUCCCAUACGGCGCGGCUCGAGCCGUCCAGAGGCCGGUGGAAUUGCCGGUGUAGUGGUGAAAUGCGCAGAUAUCAGGAGGAACACCGGUGGCGAAGGCGGGUCUCUGGGCCGAUACUGACGCUGAGGAGCGAAAAGCGUGGGGGAGCGAACAGG
rnacentral:rRNA from 1 species